rnacentral:tRNA from 1 species
GCCGCUGUGGCUCAGUGGUAGAGCACAUCCUUGGUAAGGAUGGGGUCGAGAGUCCGAUUCUCUCCAGCGGCACCA